UCACUGACAAGCUGCUGGAAGCCUUUUUUCCAACAAAGUGCUGAACUCAACUUUUUAGCUCCACUAGAGGGCGACAUUAUGAAGUAGGCGGUGCACUACUUGUGCUCUCUGUUCAAGCAUUGUGUCAAUAAUAACUGCUGCUGUGAAGAGAAGAAUUGUUAGACUCAGUGUUGAACAUCAGCUACUUUCUCCUGUUGCUUUAAACCUUCUUGUAGAGAUGGAACAUUGGCUGUGGAUGAUUCUUGCUGCUCUUUUCUUUGAGUGUAAAGGAGAAGACAGAGUGAUCCAGGAAACAGGAGAUGUCAUUGCUGCUGAAGGAGAGACAGUUACACUACCCUGUACAUAUGAGAGCAGUGACCCAUCUCCAACUUUGUUCUGGUACAAACAAGAAACAAAUGAUUUUCCCAAGUUUGUACUUCGACGUUUCUCUGGAACAAAAGAUCCUGAAGAUUCUCAGAAAGACAGAUUUCAUGCUGAGCUCAAAGAGAAAUCAGUUCCUCUGAAGAUCCAGAAGCUUCAUCUGUCUGACUCUGCUGAAUACUACUGUGCUCUGACGCCCACAGUGACAGGAAACAGCACAACUCUGUACAAAAACCUUUGGAGCAAAGACAACAGAAUACUCCACAACAUCCACUAGAGGGAGUCGCACACUGUUCAACCUCAAUGGUUUCUCAUGAUCCAUUGUAGUAUUCACAUGAAGGUAUUUCAAUUAUUGCUUGGUUUGGAAACCUAAAUUUGUCCAAUCAGAAAAGACUUGGAAGUCUUGGUAAA